UACGGAGGGGGCGAGCGUUGUCCGGAAUCAUUGGGCGUAAAGCGCGUGUAGGCGGCUCGAUAAGUCCGGUGUGAAAGUCCAGGGCUCAACCCUGGGAUGCCGGUGGAUACUGUCGGGCUCGAGUCCGGAAGAGGAGUGUGGAAUUCCUGGUGUAGCGGCGAAAUGCGCAGAUAUCAGGAGGAACACCAAUGGCGAAGGCAGCACUCUGGGACGUGACUGACGCUGAGACGCGAAAGCGUGGGGAGCAAACAGG
rnacentral:rRNA from 1 species